GCCAGGCGCAGUGGCGUAUGCCUGUAGUCCCAGCUACUCGAGGCUGAGGUGAGAGGAUCACUUGAGUCCAGGAGUUCUGGGCUGUAGUGCGUUAUGCUGAUCAGGUGUCCGUACUAAAUUCAGCAUCAAUAUGGUGACCUCCUGGGAGCAGGGAACCACCAGGUUGCCUAAGGAGGGGUGAACCGGCCCAAGUAGGUCAAAACUCCUGUGCUGAUCAGUAGUGGGAUUGCACCUGUGAAUAGCCACUGCACUCCAGCCUGGGCAACAUAGCAAGACCCCGUCUCUU
ensembl:misc_RNA Metazoa_SRP Metazoan signal recognition particle RNA